rnacentral:rRNA from 1 species
UACGUAGGGCGCAAGCGUUAUCCGGAAUUAUUGGGCGUAAAGAGCUCGUAGGCGGUUUGUCGCGUCUGCCGUGAAAGUCCGGGGCUCAACUCCGGAUCUGCGGUGGGUACGGGCAGACUAGUGUGAUGUAGGGGAGACUGGAAUUCCUGGUGUAGCGGUGAAAUGCGCAGAUAUCAGGAGGAACACCGAUGGCGAAGGCAGGUCUCUGGGCAUUAACUGACGCUGAGGAGCGAAAGCAUGGGGAGCGAACAGG